rnacentral:lncRNA from 1 species
AAACAAAAGGGAGACUCCUUUUCUCUGCUAGGGUUCCAAGGUUAGGAACCCCGCUGCCGUCACGCCUCCUCACUGCCCGGUGGCCGGAGCCAUGCGAGGGCGCCUACUAUCGGCGCAUUGAAGCGCAUUCAGAGGUCGAGGCUAUGGAACGGGGAAACAAAGGGAAAGAGAAAAGCUUUGGCCCCUCCUUGAACCCAAGUCCGGCGACGGUGGAGGACCAUCGACGGCAGGCCUAAGGGCCGAUUCAGGUAG